AAAGGCCGAUGAUGAUUGAAAGUUUUGCCUACAUUGUCUGAUUAUACAAUGAUACAUCACUCUUUGUAUCUGAGGCCUAU